rnacentral:rRNA from 1 species
UACGUAGGGUGCAAGCGUUGUCCGAAAUUAUUGGGCGUAAAGAGCGCGUAGGCGGUCCGAUAAGUCGGCUGUGAAAGUCCAGGGCUCAACCCUGGAAAGCCGGCCGAUACUGUCGGACUAGAGUCCGGAAGAGGCAAGUGGAAUUCCCGGUGUAGCGGUGAAAUGCGCAGAUAUCGGGAGGAACACCAAUUGCGAAGGCAGCUUGCUGGGACGGUACUGACGCUGAGGCGCGAAAGCGUGGGGAGCAAACAGG